CCUCCUGCCUCAGCCUCCCAAGUGCUGGGAUUACAGAGGACCGUCCUGUGCGUAUAGGGUGGAGCCAGUUCCUGUUUCUCCCUCUAUUGGGUGUCGGUCGUGUUCGCUCAGCAUGUGGGAAAGCGGAAGGGGGUGUGGAACAAAUGGAGUCCUUAGGGCGGAAC